rnacentral:rRNA from 1 species
UACGGAGGGUGCAAGCGUUAUCCGGAUUCACUGGGUUUAAAGGGUGCGUAGGCGGAUAGGUAAGUCCGUGGUGAAAUCCUGCAGCUUAACUGCAGAACUGCCAUGGAUACUAUCUAUCUUGAAUGUCGUGGAGGUUAGCGGAAUAUGUCAUGUAGCGGUGAAAUGCUUAGAUAUGACAUAGAACACCCAUUGCGAAGGCAGCUAACUACGCGACAAUUGACGCUGAUGCACGAAAGCGUGGGGAUCAAACAGG